rnacentral:rRNA from 1 species
UACAGAGGGCUCAAGCGUUGUUCGGAUUCAUUGGGCGUAAAGGGUGCGUAGGCGGCCAGGUAGGUCUGGUGUGAAAACUCGAGGCUUAACCUCGAGAUGUCAUCGGAAACCAUCUGGCUAGAGUCCGGAAGAGGAGAGUGGAAUUCCUGGUGUAGCGGUGAAAUGCGCAGAUAUCAGGAAGAACACCAAUGGCGAAAGCAGCUCUCUGGGACGGUACUGACGCUGAGACGCGAAAGCGUGGGGAGCGAACAGG